GGUUUCUUUGUUGUUUCUCUACUAUCCAGGAUAUACAGCCUCUACUGCAGGGCCAAUCAUGUCAGGCAGCAUCCCAUCUCAUAUAGGACAUACAGCCUUUACUGCAGGGCCAAGCAUUUCAGUCACCUCCACAUCUUCUACUGGUACCAGUUAUACUGAGUUGCCCAUCUAUCGCAUCAUGCUGUUUGUGGCACUGACCAUCAUGGCUUCCAUAAUAACUAUUUACAUAAUGAGGAAAAGCCCAC
rnacentral:lncRNA from 1 species